CUUGCACAGUUAAUGGCACUGGAAGAAUUCACGGGUUCUUUGAUUUACCUUCCCGUGAUCUCUUAGUGGCAUCACUGGUGUAAU
rnacentral:pre_miRNA from 1 species